rnacentral:lncRNA from 1 species
UAACCCAUUAAUCAAAACACGCAGAUCCCCCAUGGAGCGGGUCGGGUCGCGUACAGAUAUAGGCCGUGAAACGGCGUCGUUUCCCUUUUGUUAUUUAAAACAAAAAUUUUCUUGAAAAUCAUUUCUGCUUCAGUUCCAGAAAAAAAACAAAAAAAAAGAAAGAAAGAAUUUGUUAGGGUUUUAACCUUAACCCUUUGAACACCGCCGC